UGGUUCAAGGAAGCUGGUGUCUGAGCUGUCUUCUCUACCACUCUUCUUAGUUCAUGUCCUGUUAUGAAGUGGGGAUGUGGAUCAGGUUCAAGGAAUGAUGGUGGUGUAGCUGACCUGUCUAAGGCUGAGCUCAGGGUCUGCUGUGAGCAGCCCCAGCAAGUAUUUGUUGGAAGCACUUGUCAUAGUCAGUUUCAUCUGUCAACCUGAUAUCGGGGUAGAGAAAGCCUCAGAUGAGAAACCGCCUCCCUCAGAGUGGCCUGAGCACGUCUGUGUCUGUUCCUUUAUUGCUGGUUGAUGUGGGAGGGCCAAGCCCAUGGUGGCUGAUGCCAUCUCUGGGCAAGGAGACUUGGGCUGUAUAUGAGAGGCAGCUGAGCAAGCCAGGAAAAACAAGGCAGUGAGCAGUGUUCCCUCCAUGGUCUCUGCUUCCGUUCUUGUCUCGUCUGUUACCUGUACGCCAAAUAAAUCCUUUUUUCUUCCAAUUUUAUUUUGGUCAGUCCUUAUUGCAGUGAAGGCAAAAAAAAAAAAAAAAAAAAAAAAGUCAGAUGAGACUGUGUGUGCAAGGAAAGUACACAAGUACAGACCUUAAAAAAAAAUCCCAGCAAAUGGAAAAAAAGAUGUGGGAAGAGCCAGGUAGAUGACAAAAUGGAGGCUUUAAAGUCUCCCAAGGACACUGAAGGAUCUACAUGUCAGGCUGGAGAAAAUCCCAAGAACACCCUCAUCUUUCACCUCUGAAGCUAUGCAAAUAGAGUGUGAACACUGAUGCACAGCUGUGGAAGGCCUGGGCGAAGACUCAGAGUAAUGCCCCACACAGAGCCGUCCGCAGCAGCUUUAGUGUCCAGGGGCUCUGUGUCAGGCCAUCAGCUGGCCGCUAGGGUGACUGAGUGGAGACUUUAAGGACUGUGCAGUAAAAACAGAGCCCUUGCAAAAAGAGUUUAUAAAAGCUACUAAACAAAUCUGGCACAAAGAACCCUAGGGAAAGAGAGAUGGUCUUCUACAACUACUAUAUUUAAAAUAAUCAGUUUUCAAGAAAAGGCUAUGAGGGGUAUUCAAAGAAAUUAUAAAUAGAAACUGCUCCUUAGGAAACUUAGAUAUUGGAUCUCCUAGAAGAGGGACUUAAAUUAAUUUUUAGAUAUAUUGAAAGCAAAUUAUGGAACAAGAACUAAAGGAAUCCGGAAGAACAGUGUCUCAUCAAACAGAGGCUAUCAGAGAGACAGAAAUUAAAAAAAGUAAAACAAAACAAAACGAGAACUGAAUGC
rnacentral:lncRNA from 1 species